rnacentral:snRNA from 1 species
ACAUGAAAAAUAGGGCAUUACGCAUAUCAGUGAGGAUUCGUCCGAGAUUGCGUUUUUGCUAGUUGAAAACUAUCAACUGACCGCUCUCGUUGGUCUUCGGAUCGGCGAGGAAUUUUUGACAAUCCAACGAACGCCUUUCUUUUUCUUUUCAUCAUCACGUUGCGCCAUUCGCGGGCGUAUGGA